AUAUGCGCUGAAUUUUCCGAAGGGAAAACGGGGGAACCAAACUUGGCCGCAGGGCCAUUGGGGUGAAUCGGAAGCGGCCAGAAUGACCGCAACUGUAGGGCUACCACAGCCCGAAUCCGCCAGCUAACCUCGUAAGCAAGGGUGGGA
rnacentral:sRNA from 1 species